GUGUUCGGUAGAAGGAGAGAUGGUUGGCAUCUCCCCUGACAGGGACGGGAACAGCCCUCGGGCUUACUUGUUACCACACAUCCGGUUAAGGCUUCCCACUUCGGUGGAUCUAACCAAAUUUAAAU